UACGAAGGGGGCUAGCGUUGCUCGGAAUCACUGGGCGUAAAGCGCACGUAGGCGGCUUCUUAAGUCAGGGGUGAAAUCCUGGGGCUCAACCCCAGAACUGCCCUUGAGACUGAGGAGCUUGAGUCCGGGAGAGGUGAGUGGAACUCCGGGUGUAGAGGUGAAAUGCGUAGAUAUUCGGAAGAACACCAGUGGCGAAGGCGGCUCACUGGGCUGGUACUGACGCUGAGGUGCGAAAGCGUGGGGAGCAAACAGG
rnacentral:rRNA from 1 species